AUGCAGUCGAACGGUAAGGCCCCUUCGGGGGUACACGAGUGGCGAACGGGUGAGUAACACGUGAGCAACCUGCCCUUGACUCUGGAAUAACAGUUGGAAACAGCUGCUAAUACUGGAUAUUCAUCGUCUUCCUCCUGGGGGGUGGUGGAAAGCUCCGGCGGUCAGGGAUGGGCUCGCGGCCUAUCAGCUUGUUGGUGAGGUAAUGGCUCACCAAGGCUUCGACGGGUAGCCGGCCUGAGAGGGCGACCGGCCACACUGGGACUGAGAUACGGCCCAGACUCCUACGGGAGGCAGCAGUGGGGAAUAUUGCACAAUGGGCGAAAGCCUGAUGCAGCAACGCCGCGUGCGGGAUGACGGCCUUCGGGUUGUAAACCGCUUUCACCUGUGACGAAGCUAACGUGACGGUAGCAGGAGAAGAAGGACCGGCUAACUACGUGCCAGCAGCCGCGGUGAUACGUAGGGUCCGAGCGUUGUCCGGAAUUAUUGGGCGUAAAGGGCUUGUAGGCGGUCCGUCGCGUCAGGAGUGAAAACUC
rnacentral:rRNA from 1 species